rnacentral:rRNA from 1 species
AGGGCGCAUGGCGGAUGCCUUGGCUCUCGGAGGCGAUGAAGGACGUGAUAAGCUGCGAUAAGUCACGGGGAGGUGCAAAUAACCCUUGAUCCGUGAAUCUCCGAAUGGGACAACCCGUUACCUUGAAGAGGUAACAUCCAUCAAUGAUGGAGGCUAACGCAGGGAACUGAAACAUCUUAGUACCUGCAGGAAAAGAAAAUAACAAUGAUUCCCCCAGUAGUGGCGAGCGAACGGGGAAGAGCCCAAACCGUUCAUGUUACGGCAUGGACGGGGUUGUAGGACCGCGUUGUUGCAAGAAAUUUUGCGAGAAGAACGAUCUGGAAAGUUCGGCCGAAGACGGUGACAGCCCGGUAUUCGAAGCAAGACGAAGCAUAGCGGUAUCCUGAGUAGCGCGGAACACGAGGAAUUCUGCGUGAAUCUGCCGGGACCAUCCGGUAAGGCUAAAUACUCCCGAGAGACCGAUAGUGGACCAGUACCGUGAGGGAAAGGUGAAAAGCACUUCGAACAGAAGAGUGAAAUAGUACCUGAAACCGUGCGCCUACAAGCGGUCGGAGCAUGAAAAUGUGACGGCGUGCCUUUUGCAUAAUGAACCUACGAGUUGCCGUCUUUGGCAAGGUUAAGGGACAUGAGUCCCGCAGCCGAAGCGAAAGCGAGUCUGAACAGGGCGUCAAGUCAGCGGCGGCAGACGCGAAACCAAGUGAUCUACCCUUGGCCAGGAUGAAGUCUGGGUAACACCAGAUGGAGGUCCGCACCAAUAAGCGUUGAAAAGCUUCUGGAUGAGCUGAGGGUAGGGGUGAAAGGCUAAUCAAACUUGGAGAUAGCUCGUACUCCCCGAAAUGCAUUUAGGUGCAGCCUUGCGGGUUACUGAUGUGAGGUAGAGCGACUGAUAAGAUGCGAGGGCUUCACCGCCUAUCAAGUCUUGACAAACUCCGAAUGCGCAUCAGUUCUACCGCAGGAGUGAGGGCAUGGGUGCUAAGGUCCGUGCCCGAGAGGAGAAGAAUCCGGACCACCUGCUAAGGUCCCGAAAUGACAGCUAAGUUAAACUAACGAAGUCUGACUGCUAAGACAGCUAGGAUGUUGGCUUGGAAGCAGCCAUUCAUUUAAAGAGUGCGUAACAGCUCACUAGUCGAGGAGUCGGGCGUGGAUAAUAAUCGGGUAUCAAGUUGUCUACCGAAGCAGUGGGAUCAUUAAUAUGAUCGGUAGGGGAGCAUUCCAGUCAGCGUCGAAGGCGUACCGUGAGGUAUUCUGGAGCGUCUGGAAAAGCAAAUGUAGGUAUAAGUAACGAUAAAGGGGGCGGGAAACCCCCUCGCCGAAAGACUAAGGUUUCCUGAUCAACGCUAAUCGGAUCAGGGUCAGUCGGGUCCUAAGGCUCAGCCGAACGGCGAGGCCGAUGGCAGAAACGGUUAAUAUUCCGUUACUACCUUUGAGGGUGACGUGGGGAAGCAGUAGUGACACUGCCGCGGGCUGACGGAAUAGCCCGUUAAAGAGUGUAGGCGUUGAUUUCCGCAGGCAAAUCCACGGAAAGAGCCGAACUUGACAGUAUGGAGCGUCCUUCGGGACAAUCCAAUAGCGCAGGUAAUCAGACUGCCGAGAAAAUCCGCUAAACAUAACUUCAGAGGUACCCGUACCGCAAACGGACACACGUAGUCGGGUUGAAUAUACUAAGGCGCUUGGGUGAAUCACGGUUAAGGAACUAGGCAAACUGACCCUGUAACUUCGGGAUAAAGGGUCCCUACCCUUUUAUGGGAGGGCGCAGAGAAUCGGUCCAGGCAACUGUUUAACAAAAACACAGGGCUGUGCGAAGUCGAAAGACGCUGUAUACAGCCUGACACCUGCCCGGUGCUGGAAGGUUAAGAGGAGAUGUCAUCGCAAGAGAAGCAUUGAAUUGAAGCCCCAGUAAACGGCGGCCGUAACUAUAACGGUCCUAAGGUAGCGAAAUUCCUUGUCGGGUAAGUUCCGACCUGCACGAAUGGUGUAAUGAUCUGGACGCUGUCUCAACCGUGAGCUCAGUGAAAUUGUAGUAUCGGUGAAGAUGCCGAUUACCCGCGAUGGGACGAAAAGACCCCGUGAACCUUUACUAUAGCUUAGCAUUGAAUUUGGGCACGCGAUGUGUAGGAUAGGUCGGAGGCUUUGAAGCAGGCACGCCAGUGUUUGUGGAGCCGCUGUUGAAAUACGACCCUUUGUUUGUUUGAAUUCUAACUCUUGGUAAGAGGACAUUGCUUGGUGGGUAGUUUGACUGGGGUGGUCGCCUCCAAAAGCGUAACGGAGGCUUCUAAAGGUGCCCUCAGGACGAUCGGUAACCGUCCGCAGAGUGUAAUGGCAUAAGGGCGCUUGACUGGGAGACAGACAAGUCGAGCAGGUAGGAAACUAGAGCAUAGUGAUCCGGUGUUUCCGUAUGGAAGGGACAUCGCUCAAAGGAUAAAAGGUACUCCGGGGAUAACAGGCUGAUCCCUCCCAAGAGCUCAUAUCGACGGAGUGGUUUGGCACCUCGAUGUCGGCUCGUCACAUCCUGGGGCUGGAGAAGGUCCCAA